GGAGAGUUAGAUCUUGGCUCAGGAUGAACGCUGGCGGCGUGCCUAAUACAUGCAAGUCGAGCGAAUGGAUUGAGAGCUUGCUAUCAAGAAGUUAGCGGCGGACGGGUGAGUAACACGUGGGUAACCUGCCCAUAAGACUGGGAUAACUCCGGGAAACCGGGGCUAAUACCGGAUAAUAUUUUGAACUGCAUGGUUCGAAAUUGAAAGGCGGCUUCGGCUGUCACUUAUGGAUGGACCCGCGUCGCAUUAGCUAGUUGGUGAGGUAACGGCUCACCAAGGCAACGAUGCGUAGCCGACCUGAGAGGGUGAUCGGCCACACUGGGACUGAGACACGGCCCAGACUCCUACGGGAGGCAGCAGUAGGGAAUCUUCCGCAAUGGACGAAAGUCUGACGGAGCAACGCCGCGUGAGUGAUGAAGGCUUUUGGGUCGUAAAACUCUGUUGUUAGGGAAGAACAAGUGCUAGUUGAAUAAGCUGGCACCUUGACGGUACCUAACCAGAAAGCCCACGGCUAACUACGUGCCAGCUGCCGCGGUAAUACGUAAGUGGCAAGCGUUAUCCGGAAUUAUUUGGGCGUAAAGCGCGCGCAGGUGGUUUCUUAAGUCUGAUGUGAAAGCCCACGGCUCAACCCGUGGAGGGUCAUUGGAAACUGGGAGACUUGAGUGCAGAA
rnacentral:rRNA from 2 species